rnacentral:rRNA from 1 species
CGGACGGGUGAGUAACGCGUGGGUAACCUGCCUCAUACAGGGGGAUAACAGUUAGAAAUGACUGCUAAUACCGCAUAAGCGCACGGGGAUGCAUAUCUUUGUGUGAAAAACUCCGGUGGUAUGAGAUGGACCCGCGUCUGAUUAGCUAGUUGGUGAGGUAACGGCUCACCAAGGCGACGAUCAGUAGCCGACCUGAGAGGGUGACCGGCCACAUUGGGACUGAGACACGGCCCAAACUCCUACGGGAGGCAGCAG